rnacentral:rRNA from 1 species
UACGUAGGGUGCAGGCGUUGUCCGGAAUUAUUGGGCGUAAAGAGCUCGUAGGCGGUCUGUCGCGUCUGCUGUGAAAACUCGGGGCUUAACCCCGGGCCUGCAGCCGAUACGGGCAGACUAGAGUUCGGCAGGGGAGACUGGAAUUCCUGGUGUAGCGGUGAAAUGCGCAGAUAUCAGGAGGAACACCGGUGGCGAAGGCGGGUCUCUGGGCAGUAACUGACGCUGAGGAGCGAAAGCGUGGGGAGCGAACAGG